rnacentral:rRNA from 1 species
AUUGAACGCUGGCGGCAUGCUUUACACAUGCAAGUCGAACGGUAACAGGGUGCUUGCACCGCUGACGAGUGGCGAACGGGUGAGUAAUGCGUCGGAACGUGCCGAGUAGUGGGGGAUAACGCAGCGAAAGUUGUGCUAAUACCGCAUACGUACUGAGGUAGAAAGUGGGGGACCUUCGGGCCUCACGCUAUUCGAGCGGCCGACGUCUGAUUAGCUAGUAGGUGAGGUAAAGGCUCACCUAGGCGACGAUCAGUAGCGGGUCUGAGAGGAUGAUCCGCCACACUGGGACUGAGACACGGCCCAGACUCCUACGGGAGGCAGAGGUGGGGAAUUUUGGACAAUGGGCGAAAGCCUGAUCCAGCCAUGCCGCGUGUCUGAAGAAGGCCUUCGGGUUGUAAAGGACUUUUGUCAGGGAGGAAAUCCCUAGCGUUAAUACCGCUGGGGGAUGACAGUACCUGAAGAAUAAGCACCGGCUAACUACGUGCCAGCAGCCGCCGUAACAC